rnacentral:lncRNA from 1 species
GACAACUAGUAGGAGACUACAGAGGCCAAGACUUCAGUCAGAAAAGGGAAAGAGAAAAUUGAACCAUAGGCUCAACUAUUUCCCAUCUGCACACAUCUACUGAAUUCUGAGAAGAAAGGACUGUGUGGCAAAAGCAUUAUGUAUUUUAUCCCAGUGAAAGAAAAGUAACUGACACAGGUGGAUAAACAAAUAAACUCACGAUCUCCCUACCAAUGUGUCUACAUAUGCAGAGCAAAACCUAUAUACACUUGCAGGCUUCAGAUGUCUGAAUAUUAGGUCCAGGCUAAGACCUAAGGCAGAUACCAGCCAAACAGCAAUGGCGCAGCAGGUGUAGUGGAGACCACAGCAAACUGGAGGAAGUGAUAAGCACUGAAAAGGCAACUUCUACUCAACUUUAGCAACCUGCUGUCAAGCAAGAAUAGCCACUAGGCACAGCCAAGUCUACAACUUUUCAACAGGUAACAGAAUUUGAGAUUUCCUAAAUGUGACAUCUUCCUAUCUUUAAAGGAUGGCAACCAAUUACUAAAAGUUCUAAAUAUACUAAAAGCCAGCA